GGGGCGGCGGGCGCGCACGCGGGCCUGCGCUCGGGCACGGGCGCGGACGGCAAGGCCCUAACCGCCUGCUGCCCGGGGUCCCCGCGCAGGAUGCUACAAGAUCACCACCGUCUUCAGCCACGCGCAAACGGUAGUUCUGUGCGUCGGCUGCUCCACUGUGCUCUGCCAGCCCACGGGAGGGAAGGCCAGGCUUACAGAAGGAUGCUCCUUCAGGCGGAAGCAGCACUAAAAGCACCCUGAAUCCAGAUGAGUGGGACGCCCUCCCAAUAAACAGAUUUUGGAUACAU